UCCCAGUUUAUCUGGGCAGUCUAAUCUGAGUGCGCGGCAAGCCGUUGGCAACAGAUCAUAAGGGUUGCGCUCGUUGCGGGACUUAACCCAACAUCUCACGACACGAGCUGACGACAGCCAUGCAGCACCUGUGCAAAGCGCGUAUUGCUACGCUAGGAAACUUUCAUUCCCGACACAGUGCAUGUCAAACCCAGGUAAGGUUCUUCGCGUUGCAUCGAAUUAAGCCACAUACUCCACCGCUUGUGCGGGUCCCCGUCAAUUUCUUUGAGUUUUAAUCUUGCGAUCGUACUUCCCAGGCGGCACGUUUAACAUGUUAACUCCGGCACGGGAGGGGUCGAUUCCUCCCACACCAAACGUGCACCGUUUACAGCUAGGACUAC
rnacentral:misc_RNA from 1 species